rnacentral:rRNA from 1 species
CCCGCUGAACUUAAGCAUAUCAAUAAGCGGAGGAAAAGAAACUAACAAGGAUUCCCCUAGUAACUGCGAGUGAAGCGGGAAAAGCUCAAAUUUAAAAUCUGGUGGUCUUUGGCCAUCCGAGUUGUAAUUUAGAGAAGUGUCUUCCGCGCUGGACCAUGCACAAGUCUCCUGGAAUGGAGCGUCAUAGAGGGUGAGAAUCCCGUCUUUGGCAUGGACACACCAGGGCUUCUGUGAUGCGCUCUCGAAGAGUCGAGUUGUUUGGGAAUGCAGCUCAAAAUGGGUGGUGAACUCCAUCUAAAGCUAAAUAUUGGCGAGAGACCGAUAGCGAACAAGUACCGUGAGGGAAAGAUGAAAAGCACUUUGGAAAGAGAGUGAAACAGUACGUGAAAUUGUUGAAAGGGAAACGCUUGAAGUCAGUCGCGUCGGCCGAGGCUCAGCCUUGCCUCGGCUUGGUGUAUUUCUUGGCCCGACGGGUCAGCAUCAAUUUUGCCCCUUGGAUAAUGGCGAGGGAAAUGUGACACCUUUGCGGGUGUAUUAUAGUCUCUAGUCGCAUGCAAGGGUCGGGAUUGAGGAACUCAGCACGCGCCUUCGGGCGUCGGGGUUCGCCCACGAUACGUGCUUAGGAUGUUGGCGUAAUGGCUUUAAACGACCCGUCUUGAAACACGG